rnacentral:rRNA from 1 species
UACGGAGGGUGCAAGCGUUAUCCGGAUUUACUGGGUUUAAAGGGUGUGUAGGCGGGCUUUUAAGUCAGUGGUGAAAUCUCCGGGCUCAACCUGGAAACUGCCAUUGAUACUAUUAGUCUUGAAUAUUGUUGAGGUAGGCGGAAUAAGUCAUGUAGCGGUGAAAUGCAUAGAUAUGACUUAGAACACCGAUUGCGAAGGCAGCUUACUAAGCAAUGAUUGACGCUGAGGCACGAAAGCGUGGGGAUCAAACAGG